rnacentral:lncRNA from 1 species
CAGGAGAGACGUUGUGGGUGAGACAGAGGGAACAUCAAAUGAGAAACUGGGAAGAGAUAUGAAGUAGCGGGACCAGUUUUUCUAAUUUCUCAACAGAAAGCUCAACUGAUCAAAGAGAAGGAAGGAAGCAAUUUGCUGGGCUCCCAGGACACCAACGCAGAGCUACCUUUCGAGCCGGCACUGUGUGACUGCAUGGAGACUGUCUGUGCCAGUGGGCCAGACCUAAAGAAGGAACUACCAGAUGAUGCUGAGGAUUCCUGCAUUCAUCGACAGAAGCAGUUUAGUGAGACAAAGGAACCGUAAGGCAGGAUAUGCAGUAACUGCUACUGAGCAGGUAAUCAGAGUACAACCGUUACCUGUAGGGACUUCCACUAAGAGGUCUAAAAUAGCCUUAAACGUAUGGACAGAUGCUAAAUAUGCAUUUGGGGUGGCACACACUUAUGGUACCAUCUGGAAAGAGCAAGGAGUGCUCACACACGGGGAAAACAAAUUGAGCACGGUGUAUAUCUACCAAAGAGCGUGGCUGUUAUACACUGUGAUGGACAUCAGAAAGGUGACACUGUCCAGGAAACUGGAAAUAUGAUAGGGAUCAGGUGGCAAAACAGGCAGUUGAAGGAAAAGAAAUAGCAGAACUGGCUUUAAUUCCAGAUGGUAAACUUCAAAUCUCUGAACCUGAGUCAGCCUGUGGAGCAUUUUAGAGGGGACGGGAAUCUAAUUAAUGAUUUAGAAGGGAAGAGAGCUAGCUGACAGAUGGGUGCGUACCCAGAUGGACACGCUGUUGUGCCCUUUAGUACUUUAUGGAAGUUGGUUCUAAGGGAACAUAUUGAAACAUACUGAGGGGACAAACAGUAGAAAGUAAUUGCGCAAUCUAGUACCAGGAACAGGGUACAAGUGGGGCCUAUUAGGAAAGGGAACCUUCCAGGGCAACAAUGGCAAAUUGUUUUUUGUUUGGAACUACCAGGAAAAAAGGAGGGUUUUGUUAUAUGCUAGUUGAAACCAAUACCUUUCCAGGGUGGCCAGAAGCAUUCCCUCUGCAAAGCCAAAGAAGUAGCUGAGGUAUUGUUGCAGGAGAUUAUUCCAAGGUUUGGGGUUAGUGCAACAAUAUCCUCCAACCAGGGAGCUCCCUUGAUUGUAAAGAUUGUCCAACAGGGCAGAAAUAGCUUUGGGAAACAGAGAAACUGGUUCUAGGAACAAGAGCCCAAGGCCUUGACAGCUUGAUAAAUCAUAUUUUACAAAGAGAUUAUGCGUAUAUAUUAGAUCUCUUUCAGACCCACCCCUGGAACCAAGCUGGGAAGGUCUGUUCCAGGUGCUGCUAACGUCCCACACAGCUGUCAAAGUUAAAGAACGAAGCGCUGUGGAUGCAUUAGACUAGGGUCAAUAAGAUUCCUUGAACACAAUGGGAAUCGAAGUCAGCUGGACCUUUAAAACUGCAAAUCCAAAGACAGUAAAUAUGGGCUCUUGUAAUAGUGAGAAAUUUGAUAAGUGCGGCUUUUGAUGCAAAUGCCUAUGUAAAAAAAAAAAAAACCCAAAAGCUUUGCAAAGUGUGCCAGUCUCAG